AUGCCAAGAGCAAUCAUGGCGAGCCAGCGAGCAAGUUUGGUGACAAUGGCCGAUCGCGGCGGCAAGGCACCAGCAUGGACAUCGGCGGCGGCGGCCGUCGACGUCGACGCGGAGGUGGUCAUCGUUGGCGCCGGGAUCGCGGGGCUCGCGACCGCGCUGGCGCUGCGGCGGCUCGGCGUGGGCGCGGCUGGCGGCGGCGUCCUGGUGCUGGAGCGGCACGCCGAGCUGCGCUCCACCGGCGCCGCGCUCACCAUCUUCCCCAACGGCUGGUUCGCGCUCCGUGCGCUCGGCGUCGCGCACAAGCUCACCUCCCGCUACGAUGCCUUCGAAACAUCCCGGGUGACAACUCUGGAGACUGGAGCGACGCAGGUGUUCCGCUUUGCUGGGCGCAAAAGCAGCGGCGACGUGAGAGUGAGACCGAUGCAUCGGAAGGCGCUGCUGGAGGCGCUCGCGGAGGAGCUGCCUCCGGGCACCAUCAGGUUCUCGUCCAAGCUCGCCUCGAUCGCCACCGAGAAGGCGCAGGAUUCCCCGGAGAUCGCCGUCCUACGGUUAGACGACGGUACGGUGAUCCGAUCCAAGGUGCUGAUCGGGUGCGACGGGGUGCACUCCGUGGUGUCGCAGUGGCUGGGCCUGUCGGAGCCGGCGAGCUCAGGCCGGUCCGCCGUCCGCGGGCUCGCCGUGUACCCGGACGGCCAUGGCCUCAAGAAGGAGCUCCGGCAGUUCCUCUCGGAGGGUCUCAGGGCCGGCAUGGUGCCCAUCAGCGACACCGAUGUCUACUGGUUCCUCGUCAACAACACCAUCCCGGCAGAGAAGGAGGCCGGCACGGACCCCGCCAAGAUCCUGCGGGAGGUCACGGACAACCUGGGCAGGCUCAUGCCGGCGGAGUACCUGGACGUGGCGCGCCACUCCGACUCCGACAACCUGUCGUGGGCGCCGCUGCUGUACCGCGCCCCCUGGGCCAUCCUCAGGGGUCCGGCGGCCCGCGGGCCGGUCACGGUGGCCGGCGACGCGUUCCACCCCAUGACCCCCGACAUGGCGCAGGGCGGGUGCUCCGCGCUGGAGGACGCGGUGGUGCUCGCGCGCGCUUUGUCUCGGGCGGCCACGCCCGCCGACGGCGUGGCCUCCUACGUGGCAGAGCGGCGUGGCCGGGCUGCCUGGCUGGUCGCCGGGGCUUACCUGUCGGGCUGGGUCCAGCAGGGCGGGACCAACGUCCGGGGCGUGCGAGGGUACAUGGUCAGGCUGUUUCGCGACUGGAUCUUUUACAGGUUCUUGUUCCCCAGGCUAGCCGAUACAAUGUGGUUCGAUUGCGGCGACCUGGUGGAGCCAAACGCGGAGGGCAAGACCCACUCCGAGUAA
rnacentral:rRNA from 1 species